AAUAUUUCUGUUUAGGCUAAUGAUACUUAAGGUUUGCAUUUCUAUCUCGAAGUUUAUUGACCACAUACCCCAAGACUAAUCAAUCAGCGUCACAGCAUAGACCCAGGAGCUAAGACUGGACCUCAAAAAUUUCUCAGGACUAGCUUAUAUAGGAAAUAGCAGCAGCGGCAGCAGCGGCGGCGGCGGCGGCAACAACAGCAAAACAGAACAACACACAAUGAGCUCAUGUGUAGGUGCAGGAAGUGCUGCCCAGUGGUCAGCUCUAACUCAAGAUAUUUUGACUACCUAGACAGAACAGGGUUUUUUUGUUUGUUUUUGUUUUGUUUUUUGUUUUUGUUUUGAGACAGGGUUUCUCUGUGUAGCCCUGGCUGUCUUGAAACUCACUCUGUAGACCAGGAUGGCCUAGAACUUAGAGAUCUGCCUGCCUCUGCUUCCAAAGUGCUGGGAUUAAAGGCAUGUGCCACCACUGCCCGACAACAGAACAGUUUUAACUGAUAUUUAUUCUGCUUGGUCCUAAACAGAACUUAUGGUUGCGGAAUUUCUUAAAAUUAACAAACUUCAGACUAUACAGAACAUAACAGGGUAUAUGGUCAGUCUGACCCUGUUGUGAGUCAAACUAUUUUUCUGCAUCACUGACUGGCAGGCAUAGAACAAAAUGGCUACAGCUAUGCUAUUGAGGAAGGCUCCACACUAUCUUUUCGUGGGCUCCAGGAUAGAACUAGAAAAUUAGGUAUUUAUGGCAAAUACUUUUACCCACUGAGUCAUCUCUCCAGCCUAGGAUUCCUUUUAAGAAUAUGAAUUCGACAAAAGCAGAAUUUCCCUGAAGGUACGAGAGGAAGCAGGCAGUGGUGUUGCACACCCGUAGCCCCAGUUCUUGGGAGGCAGAUUCAUGUGAGUUCAAGGCCAGCCUGGUCUACAGAGUGAGUUCCGCUGCAGCCUGGGCUACACAGAGAAACCCUGUCUUGAAAAAUUAAACAAAAAUGGGGGGGAACCCCCAAAAGAAAUGAUAAUAAUUAGGCUGUUUGAAGUUUUUUUAAAAAGAUUAUUUAUUUAUUUAUUUAUUUAUUUACUUUAUAUUUAAGUACACUGUAGCUUUCUUCAGAUAUACCAGAAGAGGAAAUCAGAUCUCAUUACAAAUGAUUGUGAGCCAUCAUGUGGUUGCUGGGAUUUGAACUCAUGACCUCUGGAAGAGCAGUCAGUACUCUUAACCACUGAGUCAUCUCUCCAGCCCUGAAGUUUUUUUUUUGGUUUUUUGAGACAGGGUUUCUCUGUGUAGCCCUGGCUGUCCUGGAACUCACUUUGUAGACCAGGCUGGCCUCGAACUCAGAAAUCUGCCUGCCUCUGCCUCCUGAGUGCUGGGAUUAAAGGCGCAUGCCACCACACGCAGCUUUUCUGUUUUUGUUUUUUAAUGUCUUCAUUUUCUUACUGAAAACAAUAACUCUGGAAAUCUAAUGAACAUUAUAAGUUUGAGCAUUUAAACAUAAAACCAGAAAUAACAUGAACUCUUCAAUGAUGUAGUUGUUUAAACACACUUCUCUAUGCAUCGUUUCACGUUAGAGGACUGUUAACAUCUGCCGGCCCCUAGAAUAGCUGUAGCCAUUUUGUUCCGUGUCUGUCAGCUAUUACAUAUUGUUGCUGUAACAUGGCUACCAGUCACUGAUGCAGAAGAAUCACUUGACUCAGAGCUAGGUUUUGCUGACCAUAUCGCCUGUUAUAUUUAGUAUGUUCUAUAUGACUUUUGUUAAUCUUAAGAAAGUCCACAAAGCUUCACUUAGGACCCAUCAAAUCAAAGGUCAAUAUGAACAGUUCUGUCUAAAACGGCUUGAGUCAGAACUGACCGCUGACUGGGCAACUUCCUGCACCUGUGUAUGAACUUACUGUGGUUUUGCAAUAUUUUCCUUUAUAAGCCUGAGAACAGACUGGUACCACAAUUAGGUUCCUGAUCCCUUUUUGUGUUCCUGAUCUGCUCAGUACUGGGAUGUAGGUUCAAUAAACUAUUCUUGAUUAAC
rnacentral:lncRNA from 1 species